UGCAAUAGUGUCUGCAUUUGUGGUUGAUU
rnacentral:piRNA from 1 species